GCGCCCGUAGCUCAACUGGAUAGAGCACCGGCCUACGAAGCCGGGGGUUGCCUGUUCGAGUCAGGCCGGGCGCGCUA
rnacentral:tRNA from 1 species